CUCCGGUGGGGGGUGUGGAGGGGGAACACAAACGUAAUAAACAAAUCGUUUGCCACGAGGGAACGCUGGUUUAAACAGUUUGAACCGGAGCGACGAGGCUAAAAAGUAAUACAAGCUCCCACCAGACCGCAGGCCUACAUCAUCACACUGGCCUUGAACCAUGUGGUUUAUCUCAAAUAGGCUUGAUUAUGUGGUUGCCUACACUGGAGGACACACUGUUAUCUAUAAACAUGGACUAAAGCAUGUUGCACAGCUAGCUAAAGAGGUAUAAGCUGAAUAAAAGUAUGAUAUAGACGUCAAA